AUAAGUAAAACUAAAGUUUGUGAUAAGGGGGAUGAAAACGAAAACAGUAACACAGAAGAGGCGGAUUCAUCACGAGACAGAAAAACUCAGAAACAAGAUUCUUCUAUUACCAUCAUCUUCAUAAACCCAAUUCCUCACAUCUCAAGCUUCCAUUUUUUUCCCUUCAUUUCCUUCAUCUUCAAAACUCACGCUAUUCCAACAUCACAAACACAAUCCACCUCCAAUCUCCUUCCAUAUCCCCAACAUUCAUCUCGCCUAUCUCCGCUGUACAACCGCCCUCCAACUGCCAUCGCAGUCCAUCCGCCUCACCUCCGUGUUCCCAACAACUGCCACCGGAGAACAACCUCCGACCACCAUCAACAACAAAAAACUGGAUCACACUACAACGAACCCAUCCGCAUAGCCCAUCACUCAUAUCUCUAA